UACGGGGGGAGCAAGCGUUGUUCGGAUUUACUGGGCGUAAAGGGCGCGUAGGCGGUCAGCACAAGUCAAUUGUGAAAUCUCCGAGCUUAACUCGGAAAGGUCAACUGAAACUGUGCGACUAGAGUGCGGAAGGGGCAACUGGAAUUCUUGGUGUAGCGGUGAAAUGCGUAGAUAUCAAGAGGAACACCUGCGGCGAAGGCGGGUUGCAGGGCCGACACUGACGCUGAAGCGCGAAAGCCAGGGGAGCGAACGGG
rnacentral:rRNA from 1 species